CGCGGCAACGGGUGAGUAAUACCCAGGAACGUACCUUUAGUUGAGCAUAACCCACCGAAAGGUGGAGCAAUUCUCAAUGUGAUCGCAAGAUUAAAGCAGCAAUGCGCUAAAGAAGCGGCCUGGGCACCAUCAGCUAGUUGGUAAGGUAAAAGCUUACCAAGGCUAUGACGGUUAGGGGCCCCGAGAGGGGAAACCUCCACACUGGAACUGAGACACGGUCCAGACUCCUACGGGAGGCAGCAGUUUGGAAUUUUGGACAAUGGGCGAAAGCCUGAUCCAGCGACGCCGCGUGGACGAUGAAGGUCUUCGGAUCGUAAAGUCCUUUUUUAUGGGAAGAAUAUUUUGACGGUACCAUAAGAAUAAGAGGUUGCUAACUCUGUGCCAGCAGCAGCGGUAAUACAGAGACCUCAAGCGUUAUCCGGAAUUAUUGGGCGUAAAGGUGCCGACAGG
rnacentral:rRNA from 1 species